CCUACGGGAGGCAGCAGUGAGGAAUAUUGGUCCAUGGACGCAAGUCUGAACCAGCCAUGCCGCGUGCAGGAAGCCGGCUCUCUGAGUUGUAAACUGCUUUUGUCCGGGGGUAAACGCAGCUACGCGUCUCUGUCUGAAAGUAUCGUACGAAUAAGGAUCGGCUAACUCCGUGCCAGCAGCCUCGGUAAUACGGUGGAUUCAAGCGUUAUCCGGAUUUAUUGGGUUGAAAGGGUGCGUAGGCGGUCGGAUAAGUUAGAGGUGAAAUCCCGAGGCUCAACUUCGGAAUUGCCUCGGAUACUGGUCGGCUAGAGAGUAGUUGCGGUAGGCGGAAUGUAUGGUGUAGCGGUGAAAUGCUUAGAGAUCAUACAGAACACCGAUUGCGAAGGCAGCUUACCAAGCUACUUCUGACGUUGAGGCACGAAAGCGUGGGGAGCAAACAGGAUUAGAUACCCUUGUAGUC
rnacentral:rRNA from 1 species